UGGAGUGUAGCUCAGUGGUAGAGCCCUUGCCUAGAACUCAUGAGGCCCUGGGUUCAGUCCCCAGCACGACAC
rfam:Fukomys damarensis contig59237, whole genome shotgun sequence.